GUCUACGGCCAUGCCACCCUGAACGUGCCAGAUCUCAUCUAAUCUCAGAAGCUAAGUAGGGUUAGGCCUGGUUAGUACUUGGAUGGGAGACCACUUAGGAAUACCAGGUACUAUAGGAG
rnacentral:rRNA from 1 species